rnacentral:RNase_P_RNA from 1 species
CCAGCCGGCCGGACGGCCGCUCCCCUGGCGGGAGAGGAAAGUCCGGGCUCCAUGGAGACACGGUGCCGGAUAACAUCCGGCGGGGGCGACCCCAGGGAAAGCGCCACAGAAAGCAAACCGCCCCGCAUGCGGGGCAAGGGUGAAAGGGUGCGGCAAGAGCGCACCGCGCGGACGGCAACGCCCGCGGCACGGCAAGCCCCACCGGGAGCAAGACCGAAUAGGGGCGAUGAGGAACAGGCGCCUUCGGGCAGUCGGUUCCGGGCCCGUCUCCGGGCCAUCGCCCGGGUUGGUUGCACGAGGCGGCCGGCAACGGCCGUCGCAGAGGAAUGGCCGUCGGGCGCGAUGAGCGCCUACAGAACCCGGCUUACAGGCCGGCUGGCAUU